CCCCAGUUUGUGCAACUAACUUCUCAGCUGAUUCUGUGAAUGGAAUGUCUUCAGAAAAAUAAAAUGGAUUUCUUUAGAUUUGGGAGAGAGGAGUUCAAAACUAAUGCCUUUUAUAAUGGAGCUCUGUAGGGAGGCAUUUCACCAGAAAAGAUGCAUAUGCUGCAAAAGAAGCUUGGAAAAUUGUCUGGGGUACAUUGUGUGGUUUUCUUUGCUUGCUUCACCUGACUGAAAUAGAUAAAAGCUGCAGUGUAGGUUACUCAAGGGAAACUGAGCUGACCUGGACUUCUAUGGCAGUGCUGCCAGGCAUGUAAUUCUUGCCUGUGUAUGACAAUGUCUGGAUAACAGUAACUUGAAAUAGGAGUCGUGUGCCGUCUAGUGCAGCAAGUGCUAAUGCUCCAAGGAAGCACCUUGCAGUUGACCGAAGAUUAUGGCCUCAAGUUGCACCAAGUGAGACAUACGCAACCUCGCGGCGCUCCGUACGAGGCGGGGAACUCCGCCCUCCGCUCAGCGACAGCCGCCCCCCUCCCCCACGGCGAGGAGGAAGGGCGUUGGCGUGGAC
ensembl:lncRNA